rnacentral:rRNA from 1 species
GACGAACGUUGGCGGCGUGCUUAACACAUGCAAGUCGAACGGAAAGGCCCUGCUUUUGUGGGGUGCUCGAGUGGCGAACGGGUGAGUAACACGUGAGUAACCUGCCCUUGACUUUGGGAUAACUUCAGGAAACUGGGGCUAAUACCGGAUAGGAGCUCCUGCUGCAUGGUGGGGGUUGGAAAGUUUCGGCGGUUGGGGAUGGACUCGCGGCUUAUCAGCUUGUUGGUGGGGUAGUGGCUUACCAAGGCUUUGACGGGUAGCCGGCCUGAGAGGGUGACCGGCCACAUUGGGACUGAGAUACGGCCCAGACUCCUACGGGAGGCAGCAGUGGGGAAUAUUGCACAAUGGGCGGAAGCCUGAUGCAGCAACGCCGCGUGCGGGAUGACGGCCUUCGGGUUGUAAACCGCUUUCGCCUGUGACGAAGCGUGAGUGACGGUAAUGGGUAAAGAAGCACCGGCUAACUACGUGCCAGCAGCCGCGGUGAUACGUAGGGUGCGAGCGUUGUCCGGAUUUAUUGGGCGUAAAGGGCUCGUAGGUGGUUGAUCGCGUCGGAAGUGUAAUCUUGGGGCUUAACCCUGAGCGUGCUUUCGAUACGGGUUGACUUGAGGAAGGUAGGGGAGAAUGGAAUUCCUGGUGGAGCGGUGGAAUGCGCAGAUAUCAGGAGGAACACCAGUGGCGAAGGCGGUUCUCUGGGCCUUUCCUGACGCUGAGGAGCGAAAGCGUGGGGAGCGAACAGGCUUAGAUACCCUGGUAGUCCACGCCGUAAACGGUGGGUACUAGGUGUGGGGUCCAUUCCACGGGUUCCGUGCCGUAGCUAACGCUCUAAGUACCCCGCCUGGGGAGUACGGCCGCAAGGCUAAAACUCAAAGGAAUUGACGGGGCCCCGCACAAGCGGCGGAGCAUGCGGAUUAAUUCGAUGCAACGCGUAGAACCUUACCUGGGUUUGACAUGGGUCGGGAGUGCUCAGAGAUGGGUGUGCCUCUUUUGGGGUCGGUUCACAGGUGGUGCAUGGCUGUCGUCAGCUCGUGUCGUGAGAUGUUGGGUUAAGUCCCGCAACGAGCGCAACCCUUGUUCACUGUUGCCAGCACGUUAUGGUGGGGACUCAGUGGAGACCGCCGGGGUCAACUCGGAGGAAGGUGGGGAUGACGUCAAGUCAUCAUGCCCCUUAUGUCCAGGGCUUCACGCAUGCUACAAUGGCUGGUACAGAGAGUGGCGAGCCUGUGAGGGUGAGCGAAUCUCGGAAAGCCGGUCUCAGUUCGGAUUGGGGUCUGCAACUCGACCUCAUGAAGUCGGAGUCGCUAGUAAUCGCAGAUCAGCAACGCUGCGGUGAAUACGUUCCCGGG